CCUACGGGAGGCAGCAGUGGGGAAUAUUGCACAAUGGGCGCAAGCCUGAUGCAGCCAUGCCGCGUGUAUGAAGAAGGCCUUCGGGUUGUAAAGUACUUUCAGCGGGGAGGAAGGGAGUAAAGUUAACACCUUUGCUCAUUGACGUUACCCGCAGAAGAAGCACCGGCUAACUCCGUGCCAGCAGCCGCGGUAAU
rnacentral:rRNA from 1 species